rnacentral:snRNA from 1 species
AUCGCUUCUCGGCCUUUUGGCUAAGAUCAAGUGUAGUAUCUGUCCUUAUCAGUUUAAUAUCUACAGAUAGGUAGCCGUGUUGGUCUGCCAUAGUCAAAAUAAAAAAAUUCCUUCCAGUAGCACCUUAA